rnacentral:rRNA from 1 species
GACGCUGGCGGCGUGCCUAAUACAUGCAAGUCGAACGCACAGCGAAAGGUGCUUGCACCUUUCAAGUGAGUGGCGAACGGGUGAGUAACACGUGGACAACCUGCCUCAAGGCUGGGGAUAACAUUUGGAAACAGAUGCUAAUACCGAAUAAAACUUAGUGUCGCAUGACACAAAGUUAAAAGGCGCUUCGGCGUCACCUAGAGAUGGAUCCGCGGUGCAUUAGUUAGUUGGUGGGGUAAAGGCCUACCAAGACAAUGAUGCAUAGCCGAGUUGAGAGACUGAUCGGCCACAUUGGGACUGAGACACGGCCCAAACUCCUACGGGAGGCUGCAGUAGGGAAUCUUCCACAAUGGGCGAAAGCCUGAUGGAGCAACGCCGCGUGUGUGAUGAAGGCUUUCGGGUCGUAAAGCACUGUUGUAUGGGAAGAACAGCUAGAAUAGGAAAUGAUUUUAGUUUGACGGUACCAUACCAGAAAGGGACGGCUAAAUACGUGCCAGCAGCCGCGGUAAUACGUAUGUCCCGAGCGUUAUCCGGAUUUAUUGGGCGUAAAGCGAGCGCAGACGGUUUAUUAAGUCUGAUGUGAAAGCCCGGAGCUCAACUCCGGAAUGGCAUUGGAAACUGGUUAACUUGAGUGCAGUAGAGGUAAGUGGAACUCCAUGUGUAGCGGUGGAAUGCGUAGAUAUAUGGAAGAACACCAGUGGCGAAGGCGGCUUACUGGACUGCAACUGACGUUGAGGCUCGAAAGUGUGGGUAGCAAACAGGAUUAGAUACCCUGGUAGUCCACACCGUAAACGAUGAACACUAGGUGUUAGGAGGUUUCCGCCUCUUAGUGCCGAAGCUAACGCAUUAAGUGUUCCGCCUGGGGAGUACGACCGCAAGGUUGAAACUCAAAGGAAUUGACGGGGACCCGCACAAGCGGUGGAGCAUGUGGUUUAAUUCGAAGCAACGCGAAGAACCUUACCAGGUCUUGACAUCCUUUGAAGCUUUUAGAGAUAGAAGUGUUCUCUUCGGAGACAAAGUGACAGGUGGUGCAUGGUCGUCGUCAGCUCGUGUCGUGAGAUGUUGGGUUAAGUCCCGCAACGAGCGCAACCCUUAUUGUUAGUUGCCAGCAUUCAGAUGGGCACUCUAGCGAGACUGCCGGUGACAAACCGGAGGAAGGCGGGGACGACGUCAGAUCAUCAUGCCCCUUAUGACCUGGGCUACACACGUGCUACAAUGGCGUAUACAACGAGUUGCCAACCCGCGAGGGUGAGCUAAUCUCUUAAAGUACGUCUCAGUUCGGAUUGUAGUCUGCAACUCGACUACAUGAAGUCGGAAUCGCUAGUAAUCGCGGAUCAGCACGCCGCGGUGAAUACGUUCCCGGGUCUUGUACACACCGCCCGUCACACCAUGGGAGUUUGUAAUGCCCAAAGCCGGUGGCCUAACCUUUUAGGAAGGAGCCGUCUAAGGCAGGACAGAUGACUGGGGUG